rnacentral:rRNA from 1 species
UACGUAUGGUGCAAGCGUUAUCCGGAUUUACUGGGUGUAAAGGGAGCGCAGGCGGCGCGGCAAGUCCGAUGUGAAAACCCCCGGCUCAACCGGGGGACUGCAUUGGAAACUACCGGGCUGGAGUGCCGGAGAGGUAGGCGGAAUUCCUGGUGUAGCGGUGAAGUGCGUAGAUAUCAGGAGGAACACCAGUGGCGAAGGCGGCCUACUGGACGGUGACUGACGCUGAGGCUCGAAAGCGUGGGGAGCAAACAGG